rnacentral:pre_miRNA from 1 species
CACGGCCCCGAGUUGCAUAGGUGGCAGCAGGGAGACGAUGACGUCACCCAGAUGUGGCACGUGUGGGCGAUGUGGCUCUUUGACGGAUAGUCGCUGGUGCAAGGGCGGCGGG